CUGUAGGGAAUUAUUUCCUGUUUUAUCGCAUGUUGCUACUCUGUGUUAGGUGAUCAUUAUAGCCAUAUAAUGCCACUAGAUGUAGUGCCAGAUAUCUCCUUUAUUGCUUCAGUUUUAAUUAAUUAGGAAACUGGAGCAGGGUAUUAAGUUGGAUCCCCCCUCGUUUCUUUGAGACCUUCUGAUCAUGUGCUUAUUUUAGUGGCUCUGUCCUUGGAUGGUCAUUUCUGAUGAGUGAUAACCAGGGCAGUUUCACUUCCAGAAACAAGAGAAGAGGGUCUCACCGAGCCUCCUCAGAGCUCAGCGACUUUCGGCCGUCGGAUGCGUUCGCUUGAUGGAGUUUGGGUCGUCGGAUCAAGCCAUCGGACGUACUCUGCCGUCGGAUCUGGAGUAGCACUAUAGGAAUGAAUAGUUACUGCCUCCUCGCGCUGUCGCUUACUCUGUCUGUUCGACCGGGACUAGCUGACGUGUGGGGCCCCUCGCGGGUGGGCUGCGUUUGUCAGUGACCGUGGCCGCGGGUGUGGCAUGUUCGUCUCGUCGCGCGCACCGACGGGUAAAUAUCCGCGCCACUGCACGUAAUAUCUUGCCCCCACCGAGGGUAUUUCGGUCUUUUCGCGUCUAGGCCUCGUGCGUGGUGGGCGGUGGUUGGCCCGUGCGGCUAUGGAGUGGGGGAGGGCAGCGGCUUGCCUCUUCGUGCUCCCAUUCGCCCCCUUCUCUCUGGGUCUCCUCUCCUCUCGCCGCCGAUGCUCGUGUCAGAGGCUAUUCUUGCUAGGGCGAUGAUGAUUAACUGUGGCUGAAAUAAGUGUGCCUUUGAGCAAUCGAGGCACCUGUUGGUAUCAAGUUGGAUCCUCCCUCUCGUCCCUAAAAUCAUUUUUGGUCAUGUGAUACUUAUGGUUCUGUCCUUGGAUGGUCAUUCUUGUUGAGUGAUAACCAGGGCAGCUCCACUAUGUAAACAGAUUGAUCUGGUGGUAAGAGAUGACGGGGGUAGGUUAUAUGAUCGAGGAAAGGUGAAUCUGAGCCCACUAUGCAAUUAACCCUAAACCCUUUUUCAUUUGUAUUUAAAGGUGUUGCUUAUUUAUGCUCCAGUGUUUAUAGCCGUUUUAAGUAAAGUUUUCUUCUCUCUCAUACCUUUAUUGCAUAUAAGUUGUUCUUGAUCCUUUAUUGUUUCUUGUUGGUCUUUGAUUUAAUCUGGUUAAGAGUAAGUUGCACUUUGUUAUACUAGAAAGACUCACUCCCAACAAGUUAUCGGUUGAAUGACUUGUUUUAAUUCGUUGUGAUACUAUUACUUCUAUUUUUUUGCAAGUUACCAGUUGUAGCUAUUUGUUCAUGCUACAGAAAAUAAUACUAUAGGAUUUUUUAAGAUUUUUCUUGAGAUAAUGCUGGAUUGUUCAUGUAAAGAGUGACCGAGGUAGCAUGUCCCAUUUUGUAUCCAUAAACAUUUUUUUGACUGCUGUGAUUAGGUUGCUGGGUUAAUCCGAGCCAUUGAGCAGACAUUUCCUUUCGUUUUCUUUAGUUUGUUCUGAAGCUUUCCCCAAUUAUGUACGUCACCAGUGCAUUUGUUUGGAUCCUGCAGUUUGAACACUCUUCCAACUAUAGAGUUUAAAAUAUGUUACCUACAUAAAGAGGAGUUAAAUAAGGAUGAACUUACACAGCUUAUCCUUAUUUUAGCCAUAAGAGUAUUUUGUCUAUAGAGCUGAUACCCUGAAACUCUGUUUUUAUUACUGUAUUAUAUUAUGAAGGUUCAAGUAUUUGGGUUCUAGCUCCUGCUUGGAUAUGGUAGAUGCUUAUUCAUUUUCCUAUUAGUCUAGCAGGAUUACAUCAUUGAUGUCACUUCCCAACCAAUAUUAAGCUGGCAGUUGUUUAUUUUCUCUUUUGCCUAACACAUCAAAAUCUAGAGCAACACUUUUUGUUGAUUGAUAUUUCCAACAGAUACUGAUUACUUCUCUUUAUUUUAUUGUAUUGUUAGCCAAUUAAAAAGGUUUUGUUGUAGGUGUAUUUUUUUGUAUGGUAUAUAUUAUGCGAGUUAUUUCUAAUGCAUCUUGAUAUUAUCUUAGAAUCAUCUGACUAGAGUCUUGGUCCUUCGAGCUUAGUUAAGUAAAGCAUCUUUUAUAUCAGAUAUCAAAUUAUCUAUACUUGUACUAAGAUAUGAUGUAUCUAACCAGAUUUUCAUUUCUUUAAUGGAGUUUUUAGCACUCAGAUUUAUUUGAAAUAGCUGCUCCUAUAUUUUUAUCAGUGCUUGCUGUACUUAGUUUAAAUGUUUCUUCUUGGUAGGAUCAGUUCUAAAUAGUGGAUGUAAGCAUGCCUUUUCAAGCUUAAGCAUUUGAUUUUUGGCGAUAUGGUGUUCUCUCCUUACAGAUGACCUUUUGCUUUCUUAUUUUUAAAAAUAGACAAGUUGGAUGCAAUUGCCGCCACUCAUGUUGCUACAGGAGUGCGCGCAGGGGGGAGUGGCGGGUCAAGGUGCGCUCAUCGGCGCCGCUGCUGACCGGCAGAUCCAGGCGCACCCUCGGUGCACGCAGGGGGGUGAUCUACGACGACCUCCUGGGCACGACACCGCUAGAGACGGUGAGAAACACGCACUCCGUCCACCAUUGGUCACUGGCAGUAGCAGGACGAACCGUCGCCGUAGCCGCCAGGCUGAACCAUAAGACGCCUCAACAGCGACUGACGAAGUCGUCGAGGCGACGGCCCGGAGGUGAACUCCAGCGACAGCGUGAACUUGGCCGGCGACCGCAAGGACCCAUCCACGGGGUCCCUUCCUCUCUGAAAACGGCCUAAUUGCUGAUAUCUUGCCUCCCCUCUCCUUCUCCCUCCUAAUUUUCAAACAAUUUCGGUAUGGUAUUACUGUUAGGUAACCCUACAAACUUUGUUGGAACCUAAAAAAUAGGUACUCCUGAUGGAUUAGAGUGGUUCUGCCUGAAACAACUUCCAAUGAAUUGUUGAAUUAGCCAAUGUCAUAAUUAGUAAAUCCGUGCCGUUAUAUUCUGUAAUGAGAUCACAUUAUGCCCAUGUUUAGAUGACACUAACCCAAGUUUACUUUCUGAUUCCCUUAAUUUCUCUACCUAAUUCUUGUGGCGGCAUGCUUUCAUCAGUUUCAAUGCGAUGAAGAUGACAGAUCCAACAUGGUAUCCUUUACGGAUGAACAGGAGUUAAGAGGCAUGUGUGCCACCCAGGCCACACAAAGAAGGCCCACUGGUUUUUUGGACAGGAUAAGUGCACUUCAGGCCACCCAGGGUCAGGCUUUCAGCAGAGACACCAGAGGAGAUACCUUUGUGCGAGACUGCUCUCGGUUGAAAAUAUCCAAAGGUUGGUGCCUCAAGCUAAACUUAUCACCUGUGAUUCUUUCCCUUUGAUCCAUUUGCUCCAUGCAACCCCUUCUCUGGACAAGCGAUAGUUAUAGUCGUCAUGGACUCCGAUGAGAUUCUCGACGAAGCGAUACCCGAGUGGUUGGAAUUGGCAAUCAUAUGCUUCCAGCGGUAUCACUCGCCAUGAUGAGCUCCACCAUUGGUUCUAACUUUGUGUACUUAUCAAGACUGCCAUCUAACUGUCACCAGCCUUUGUAUAAACGCCUUGCUUUUAGUAUUUUGUGAUGUUCGGCUGUCCUGUAAUGUGCUACUUAGUUUUCGGUCCCUUGCUAUGUAACAAACUUACACUAAU